UACGGAAGGUCCAAGCGUUAAUCGGAAUUACUGGGCGUAAAGCGCGCGUAGGUGGUUUAUUAAGUUGGGUGUGAAAGCCCCGGGCUCAACCUGGGAACUGCAUCCAAAACUGAUUCACUAGAGUACGAAAGAGGGAGGUAGAAUUCACAGUGUAGCGGUGGAAUGCGUAGAUAUUGUGAAGAAUACCAAUGGCGAAGGCAGCCUCCUGGUUCUGUACUGACACUGAGGUGCGAAAGCGUGGGUAGCGAACAGGAUUAGAUACCCUGGUAGUCCACGCCGUAAACGAUGACAACCAGCUGUUGGGAAGCAAUGCUUUUCAGUGGCGCAGCUAACGUCUUAAGUUGUCCGCCUGGGGAGUACGGCCGCAAGGUUAAAACUCAAAUGAAUUGACGGGGACCCGCACAAGCGGUGGAGCAUGUGGUUUAAUUCGAUGCAACGCGAAAAACCUUACCUACUCUUGACAUCCUUGGAAUCUCUUGUAAUGAGAGAGUGCCUUUUGGAACCAAGUGACAGGUGCUGCAUGGCUGUCGUCAGCUCGUGUCGUGAGAUGUUCCGUUAAGUCGGAUAACGAGCGCAACCCUUACCCUUAUUUGCCAGCGGUUCGGCCGGGAACUAUAAGGGGACUGCCGGUGAUAAACCGGAGGAAGGUGAGGACGACGUCAAGUCAUCAUGGCCCUUACGAGUAGGGCUACACACGUGCUACAAUGGGAAGUACAGAGGGACGCCAAAGCGUGAGCUGGAGCUAAUCUCAUAAAACUUUUCGUAGUCCGGAUUGCAGUCUGCAACUCGACUGCAUGAAGUCGGAAUCGCUAGUAAUCGCGGAUCAGCGCGCCGCGGUGAAUACGUUCCCGGGUCU
rnacentral:rRNA from 1 species